rnacentral:rRNA from 1 species
AAUCUUCCGCACUGGACGAAAGUCUGACGGAGCAACGCCGCGUGAGUGAUGACGGUCUUCGGAUCGUAAAACUCUGCUGUUAGGGAAGAACAAGUACCGUUCGAACAGGCCGGUACCUUGACGGUACCUAACCAGAAAGCCACGGCUCACUACGUGCCAGCAGCCGCGGUAAUACGUAGGUGGCAAGCGUUAUCCGGAAUUAUUGGGCGUAAAGCGCGCGCAGGCGGUUUCUUAAGUAUGAUGUGAAAGCCCACGGCUCAACCGUGGAGGGUCAUUGGAAACUGGGAAGCUUGAGUGCAGAAGAGGAGAGUGGAAUUCCAUGUGUAGCGGUGAAAUGCGUAGAGAUAUGGAGGAACACCAGUGGCGAAGGCGACUCUCUGGUCUGCAACUGACGCUGAGGCACGAAAGCUAGGGGAGCAAACA